AUACGGAGGACGCGAGCGUUAUCCGGAUUCAUUGGGUUUAAAGGGUGCGCAGGCGGCCGUGCAAGUCAGCGGUGAAAGCCCGGGGCUCAACCCCGGAAGUGCCGUUGAUACUGCAUGGCUGGAAUGCGGUCGAGGCGGGGGGAAAGGGGGGUGUAGGGGGGAAAAGCGUAGAUAUGCCAGAGAACGGCUAUAGCGGAGGCAGCUCGCCAGGCCUGCAUUGACGCUCGGGCACGAAAGCGUGGGGAUCGAACAGGAUUAGAUACCCUGGUAGUCCACGCCGUAAACGAUGGGCGCUCGUCGUCGGCGGCAGACAGUCGGCGGCCAAGCGAAAGCGAUAAGCGCCCCACCUGGGGAGUACGGUCGCAAGGCUGAAACUCAAAUGAAUUGACGGGG
rnacentral:rRNA from 1 species